UUUAAAUUGACAUGGCUUCCCCCAAAGUAUCCUGGGAAGUGUAGUUCAGGAAGGUUGCUGAGAGUUGUAAAGCGACUUCUAUUCUACAGUCUCCAGAGUGGUUAAACAGUCACUCCCUCUUCCAAGAAAACUCGAAUUGUAACUCUGUGAGACAAAUAAGGAUCUCCUAACAACUCUCAGCACCUUUCACAAACUACACUUCCUAGGAUUCUUGGGGGGGGGGGAGAGAGAGAGCUAUGACUAUCUAAAUUGGAAUAAAUGUAGUCCAAGCCUGAGAAGUACACCUUAAGGAGGAGAAGCAGGAAUAUAAAAAGCUACCUUAUACAGAGUCAGGCAUUGGUCCAUCUAGCUCAGUACUGUCUACUCUGACUAGCAGCGGCUCUCCAAGGCUUUAGACAAAUUUCUCUUCCAGCCCUAGGUAGAGAUGCUGGAGACUGAACCUCGGACCUUCAGACGCUAGCUUUGAGCUACUGGCCCUUCCCCGGCUUAAUUAAGAAGGAUCAAGGGAUCUUCUAGCGCCAUGACCGCGACCGAAAAGACGAUCGGACGGACCUGCCCCGCCCAAAAUAUCUCCUCCCUCACCUGAGGGUUGUGAUCGGCGUCAAAGGGAUUCCCGAUGUACAUAUCAAAGCCCUUAUCCAACAGCCCCUUGGCUGUGCCAGCGAUGCGGACUCCCCGAGCAGAAAGCCCCGGAUCAGCCGCUUCAUCGCCAUCAGUCAUCGCCGAGCUGUGCGCGGAGAAAGUUGCAGGAAUCGCCAGCAGCCGCCUCACUCUCAGAGAACAAAAGCAAGCAGCGAGACACGAAGGGAGGAGCAACUGCCAGGAAGAAGCGCCAGCAACGCGCCUUCUUAGCCGGUGCGAACAGAAUGAAAGGAGGCGCCUUUUUGAAGCCGCCUCGCCGGUUCUUUCCCGCCCAGAUGCCCUGACUGAGUCUCCCGUCCGCUCCGCCCUCGCUCCCCCUUCUUCCCCGUGUUAUUUAUUUUAUUUUUUUGUGAAGGGGGAGGGGAAAAGAUGGAUUCCUCCCGAUUGAUUAUUCAAGCAAGCCGGGCGGGGUUUAGCUCUAUUGGUGUUCAGCUCAUUUGGUGGAUGGGCAAUCGAAAGCAAUAUUCCAGAUCUUAUUGACUGUCCCAUUCGGAACAUCGUCCGCACGGAUACGUUGACUUUUCCACAAAAGAAAGGCAUUUGUGAAAUGCAACAGUCCAUAAGUAGGAAUGGAUCCUGCCCAGUGCCUCAACCACCACAGCAGCGAAACACCCCACUUCCCUGCCACUGCAACCAAUCUUGGCAAACCAAUUGAACAUUCUGCAGUCGGAUGUCAUUGCAAAAUAUCCGCUCCUGCUAUAACCAGCAGAAAUGAAGCAAUGCCUACAGAGAACAACAUCAAAGUGAAGCUGAGGAUGGCCUGAGAUCAGAGCAAGAUCAUUGUCCCAGACAAUUGUUUCCUCUUCAAUCACAACGUAGCCAGCCACUGAUUAUGCAGAUGCCUGUACGGUAUGAAGAAAUACACCCAAAAUUCCACUUUCGUCCUCUCCAACCUAUGUUAUGCAUUCUCAAAAUUUUUAAAUAUACUUUAAAAGAAAGGAAAUGCUACCCUACUAACGCUGAAAUCCAUCAGGUCUAACUCCUUUCUGCAGUAGGUUACAAACAUCCAAGAAUACUAAGGCUGCAAUCCAAUAGAUGUCUACUCAGAAGUAUGCUCCACUGAGUUCAAUGGGACUUACUCCCAGGUAAGUGUAUAUUGGAAUGCAGCCUAAGUAAAUUUCUUUACUGCCUUGGAUUCUGUGGUGUGUAGAAAAGACAAUAACUAAUCAGGUUGACAGUCUACCAUAAUGAAUCUGACAACUGAUAUAAAUGCCUAAAAAUCUUAAUAUGCAUUGUACAACCCCCCCCCAGCUUUCAUACUGGCAAGGUAUUUUAGUUUAAUAUGUAUUUCACUUGUACAAACUGAUCUGAGAUUUCUUGUAAUGUAUAUUGUAAAGAAGUAUUAACGAGUAAACAAAAGAAUACAUUCAAACACAUACAUGCAGAGUCUACAAAAGAUCACUUUCUUCUUGAGAUGUACCUUAUACCCUCUCUGUGCAGCUACAUGCCCAUUCUCGUGGCCCUCAUCACUUACCCACAUCUCAUUUUUUUAGAAAGUGUAAGUCAAGCAUAGAAACACAAAUACUGUAACUAUCAGAAUGCUUUAUUCUCAGUGCUGCAUUUGUGUUUCCUUGAGUUACAUUUCCAAAGUAAAAAACAACUCUGAAA